rnacentral:rRNA from 1 species
AACUUAAAGGAAUUGACGGGGGCCCGCACAAGCGGUGGAGCAUGUGGUUUAAUUCGAUGCAACGCGAAGAACCUUACCAGGUCUUGACAUCUGUGGAACCUUUGUUGAAAGAUGAGGGUGCCUUCGGGAGCCACAAGACAGGUGGUGCAUGGUUGUCGUCAGCUCGUGUCGUGAGAUGUUGGGUUAAGUCCCGCAACGAGCGCAACCCUUGUCUUUAAUUGCCAUCAUUUAGUUGGGCACUUUAAAGAGACUGCCGGUGUUAAGCCGGAGGAAGGUGGGGAUGACGUCAAGUCCUCAUGGCCCUUACAUCCCGGGCUACACACGUGCUACAAUGGCAGGUACAGAGGGCUGCGAAGCCGCGAGGUGGAGCGAAUCCCAGAAAACCUGUCUCAGUCCGGAUUGAAGUCUGCAACUCGACUUCAUGAAGGCGGAAUCGCUAGUAACCGCGAAUCAGCAGGUCGCGGUGAAUACGUUCCCGGGCCUU